CAUAUUUUAGGCAAACUUUCACCGUUGAUUUAGCUCUGAAUCAAUCUCAGCCGUCGGUUCAAAUCUGAGAUCUGUUUAAAUGAGAAGCUACAGUGUUCCAGCUUCUUCGUCGAUUCCUCCGCCCUCAGCUCCACGUCCCGGCGUUUUCUUCAGGAUUUCGGCCCCAUCCUCUUCCAGAUCUACUUUUCAGUGAGCUUCAUUGGCGUUGGAGUUUCUAUCCAUUGGCUUCCAAGUUUCGAUCAUCUGCUCGCGCCGGCGACUUUCUCUCCGGAGCACAGAUCUGUUCGUGUGCUUUCUCUGUUUCAGCCAUCAUCGGAGGGAUUCUUUGGUGAUAGUGGCUCGCCCUCCAUCAGAGAGCAUCGAUCCAGAGAAUGCAGAUUUCAGAUCUGCAGAAUUUCGAUGCUUGCAGUUCAUUUCUUCAUCAGCUUUUCCAGGAAGUUUUUCUCUGGUGCUGCAGGAGAUUGAACUAAAUUCAGCGGUUGAGAGCUCUUUCGUCAAGUCCGAAGUGAGAUCUGGUGAAUGUGAGUCCGAAGCUGGUGCAACAUAAUCUGAUCCAAUUGGAAUAUUCUUCAUGGGUUCAGUUAUAGUCCUUCCACUUCGAAGAGUCAACGAACUCACAUUCUUUGGGUUUGGCAUUGUUUGAGAAGCAAUUCAUCCAUCUUCUGUUGUGAAUCGGAAUUAGAAGAAUUAUUAGAACUUCCUUGAGUCAAACUUAACCUUAAAGGUGCUGGAAGUGCAUUCUGGAUUGCAUUUUGCCCCUGCUGAACUCCCUGAUUUUGGAAUUGUCAUUGCUGAUUUUGAUUUGGAAACUGCUGAAAAGGCUGAAAUUGCUGCUGGAAUUGAU